rnacentral:pre_miRNA from 1 species
UUGAUCCCUGGCUUUAUGGCUGUUACGUCUUAUUGUCAGCACUUUUGUUAGGGAUUGAUU